rnacentral:rRNA from 1 species
UACGUAGGGUGCAGGCGUUAAUCAGAAUUACUGGGCGUAAAGCGUGCGCAGGCGGUCUUUUAAGUCAGAUGUGAAAUCCCCGGGCUUAACCUGGGAACUGCGUUUGAAACUGAAGGGCUAGAGUGUGGCAGAGGGGGGUGGAAUUCCACGUGUAGCAGUGAAAUGCGUAGAGAUGUGGAGGAACACCGAUGGCGAAGGCAGCCCCCUGGGUCAACACUGACGCUCAUGCACGAAAGCGUGGGGAGCAAACAGG